rnacentral:rRNA from 1 species
AUGGGCUGCUCGCCGGCGGCGGUCAGGGCCGCGCUCCUCCUUCUCGUGGUCGCAGCGGGUGCCUCGGUGGCCGGGGCGACGUACGUCCGGUACAAGGAUCCGAAGCAGCCGAUCCAGGCGCGCGUGGCGGAUCUCCUCGGCCGGAUGACGCUCGAGGAGAAGAUCGGGCAGAUGACGCAGAUCGAGCGCGCCAACGCCUCCACCGCCGUCAUCGAGAAGUACUUCGUCGGGAGCGUGCUGAGCGGCGGCGGCAGCGUGCCCUCGGAGAAGGCGUCGGCGGCGACGUGGCAGGAGAUGAUCACCAAGAUGCAGAAGGCGGCGCUCAGCACCCGCCUCGGCAUCCCCAUCAUCUACGGCAUCGACGCCGUGCACGGCAACAACAACGCCUACAACGCCACCAUCUUCCCCCACAACGUCGGCCUCGGCGCCACCCGGGACCCCGACCUGGUCAAGCUCAUCGGCCGCGCCACGGCGCUCGAGGCCCGCGCCACCGGCAUCCCCUACACCUUCGCGCCAUGCGUCGCGGUGUGCCGUGACCCGAGGUGGGGCAGGUGCUACGAGAGCUUCAGUGAGGACACGAAGCUGGUGCAGCUGAUGACGGCGGCCGUGAUCCCCGGCCUGCAGGGUGCCGCCCGCCACCCAACCGGCAUCCCCGUCGUGGCCGGGCCCAAGAACGUGGCCGGCUGCGCCAAGCACUUCGUCGGCGACGGCGGGACGCGCCACGGGAUCAACGAGAACAACACGGUGCUCAGCUUCCACGACCUCAUGCGGAUCCACAUGCCGCCCUACUACGACGCCGUCAUCAAGGGCAUCGCCUCCGUCAUGAUCUCCUACUCCAGCUGGAACGGCGUCAAGAUGCACGAGAACAAGUACCUCAUCACCCAAAUCCUCAAGGACAAGAUGCGCUUCAGGGGGUUCGUGAUCACGGACUGGCAGGCGGUGGACAAGAUCACCACGCCGCCGCACAAGCACUAUUACCACUCCAUCCAGGAGACCAUCCACGCCGGCAUCGACAUGGUCAUGGUCCCCUACGACUACCCGGAGUUCGUCGCCGACGUCACCGCGCAGGCCAAGCGCGGCGCCAUCAACAUGGACCGCAUCAACGACGCCGUCACCCGCAUCCUCAGGGUCAAGUUCGCCAUGGGCCUCUUCGAGAACCCCUUGCCCGACCACACCCUCGUCGCCCAGCUCGGCAGCAAGCCGCACCGGGAGCUCGCCAGGGAGGCCGUCCGCAAGUCGCUCGUGCUGCUCAAGAACGGCAAAGGCAAGAAAGACGGCAAGCCCGUCCUGCCGCUCUCCAAGGACGCCAAGAAGAUCCUCGUCGUCGGCACCCACGCCCACGACCUCGGCCUCCAGUGCGGCGGCUGGACCAAGUCCUGGCAGGGUCAGUCCGGCAACGACUUCACCGGCCAAGGUACGUCAGUGUCGUCACACAUCUCUCAUGCAUGCAUGAACCCUAAUAUCCUCUUAAUGUUGAUGCUUAUAUAUGUUGUUCUUGGCCACGAUCGAUGUGCAGGCACGACCAUCCUUGAGGCCAUCAAGUCGGCCGUGGACAAGAAGACGGUCAUCGACUACUCGGAGCACCCGGACAAGGGCUCCAUCUCCAAGAACCUGGACGACUACGACUACGGCGUGGUGGUGGUGGGCGAGCAGCCCUACGCCGAGACGGCCGGCGACAACCAGAACCUCACCAUCCCGGGCCCGGGGCCGGAGGUGAUCAGGAAGGUGUGCGAGCUCGUCAAGUGCGUCGUGGUCCUCGUGUCGGGCCGGCCGCUCGUCGUUGAGCCGUACCUGGACACCAUGGACGCGCUCGUCGCCGCGUGGCUGCCGGGCACCGAGGGCCACGGCGUCGCCGACGUGCUCUUCGGGGACUACGGCUUCUCCGGGAAGCUGCCCCGGACGUGGGUCAGGUCUGUGGACCAGCUGCCCAUGAACUACGGCGACAAGCUCUACGACCCGCUCUUCCCCUUCGGCUUCGGCCUCACCACCAAGCCGGCGGCGGAUCGCAGCUAG